GAUGAACGCUGGCGGCGUGCCUAAUACAUGCAAGUCGAGCGAACAGAUGAGGAGCUUGCUCCUCUGACGUUAGCGGCGGACGGGUGAGUAACACGUGGAUAACCUACCUAUAAGACUGGGAUAACUUCGGGAAACCGGAGCUAAUACCGGAUAAUAUAUUGAACCGCAUGGUUCAAUAGUGAAAGACGGUUUUGCUGUCACUUAUAGAUGGAUCCGCGCCGCAUUAGCUAGUUGGUAAGGUAACGGCUUACCAAGGCAACGAUGCGUAGCCGACCUGAGAGGGUGAUCGGCCACACUGGAACUGAGACACGGUCCAGACUCCUACGGGAGGCAGCAGUAGGGAAUCUUCCGCAAAGGGCGAAAGCCUGACGGAGCAACGCCGCGUGAGUGAUGAAGGUCUUCGGAUCGUAAAACUCUGUUAUUAGGGAAGAACAAAUGUGUAAGUAACUAUGCACGUCUUGACGGUAUCUAAUCAGAAAGCCACGGCUAACUACGUG
rnacentral:rRNA from 1 species